rnacentral:rRNA from 1 species
AUUGAACGCUGGCGGCAGGCUUAACACAUGCAAGUCGAGCGGAGAUGAGGUGCUUGCACCUUAUCUUAGCGGCGGACGGGUGAGUAAUGCUUAGGAAUCUGCCUAUUAGUGGGGGACAACAUUCCGAAAGGAAUGCUAAUACCGCAUACGUCCUACGGGAGAAAGCAGGGGAUCUUCGGACCUUGCGCUAAUAGAUGAGCCUAAGUCGGAUUAGCUAGUUGGUGGGGUAAAGGCCUACCAAGGCGACGAUCUGUAGCGGGUCUGAGAGGAUGAUCCGCCACACUGGGACUGAGACACGGCCCAGAUUCCUACGGGAGGCAGCAGUGGGGAAUAUUGGACAAUGGGGGGAACCCUGAUCCAGCCAUGCCGCGUGUGUGAAGAAGGCCUUAUGGUUGUAAAGCACUUUAAGCGAGGAGGAGGCUACUGAGACUAAUACUCUUGGAUGGUGGACGUUACUCGCAGAAUAAGCACCGGCUAACUCUGUGCCAGCCGCCGCAGUAACAC